rnacentral:rRNA from 1 species
AACGAACGCUGGCGGCAGGCCUAACACAUGCAAGUCGAGCGCCCCGCAAGGGGAGCGGCGGACGGGUGAGUACCGCGUGGGAAUAUGCCCUUUGCUACGGAAUAGUCUCGGGAAACUGGGGGUAAUACCGUAUACGCCCUUUGGGGGAAAGAUUUAUCGGCGAAGGAUUAGCCCGCGUUGGAUUAGGUAGUUGGUGGGGUAAUGGCCUACCAAGCCGACGAUCCAUAGCCGGUUUGAGAGGAUGAUCAGCCACACUUGGACUGAGACACGGCCCAGACUCCUACGGGAGGCAGCAGUGGGGAAUCUUAGACAAUGGGGGCAACCCUGAUCUAGCCAUGCCGCGUGAGUGAUGAAGGCCUUAGAGUUGUAAAGCUCUUUCAGCUGGGAAGAUAAUGACGGUACCAGCAGAAGAAGCCCCGGCUAACUCCGUG